CGAGUGAUAAAAUCCGUCGUCAAGAGGGAAACAACCCAGACUACCAGCUAAGGUCCCUAAAUCUUACUUAAGUGGAAAACGAUGUGAAGUUACUUAAACAACCAGGAGGUUGGCUUAGAAGCAGCCAUCCUUUAAAGAAAGCGUAAUAGCUCACUGGUCUAGUGAUUUUGCGCGGAAAAUAUAACGGGGCUAAAGUAAGUACCGAAGCUGUAGACUUAGUUUACUAAGUGGUAGGAGAGCGUUCUAUUUGCGUCGAAGGUAUACCGGUAAGGAGUGCUGGAGCGAAUAGAAGUGAGCAUGCAGGCAUGAGUAGCGAUAAUUAAUGUGAGAAUCAUUAACGCCGUAAACCCAAGGUUUCCUACGCGAUGCUCGUCAUCGUAGGGUUAGUCGGGUCCUAAGUCGAGUCCGAAAGGGGUAGACGAUGGCAAAUUGGUUAAUAUUCCAAUACCAACAUUAGUGUGCGAUGGAAGGACGCUUAGGGCUAAGGGGGCUAGCGGAUGGAAGUGCUAGUCUAAGGUCGUAGGAGGUUAUACAGGCAAAUCCGUAUAACAAUACUCCGAGAACUGAAAGGCUUUUUGAAGUCUUCGGAUGGAUAGAAGAACCCCUGAUGCCGUCGAGCCAAGAAAAGUUUCUAAGUUUAGCUAAUGUUGCCCGUACCGUAAACCGACACAGGUGGGUGGGAUGAGUAUUCUAAGGCGCGUGGAAGAACUCUCUUUAAGGAACUCUGCAAAAUAGCACCGUAUCUUCGGUAUAAGGUGUGGUUAGCUUUGUAUUAGGAUUUACUCCGAAAGCAAGGAAACUUACAACAAAGAGUCCCUCCCGACUGUUUACCAAAAACACAGCACUCUGCUAACUCGUAAGAGGAUGUAUAGGGUGUGACGCCUGCCCGGUGCUCGAAGGUUAAUUGAUGGGGUUAGCAUUAGCGAAGCUCUUGAUCGAAGCCCGAGUAAACGGCGGCCGUAACUAUAACGGUCCUAAGGUAGCGAAAUUCCUUGUCGGUUAAAUACCGACCUGCAUGAAUGGCGUAACGAGAUGGGAGCUGUCUCAAAGAGGGAUCCAGUGAAAUUGUAGUGGAGGUGAAAAUUCCUCCUACCCGCGGCAAGACGGAAAGACCCCGUGGACCUUUACUACAGCUUGACACUGCUACUUGGAUAAGAAUGUGCAGGAUAGGUGGGAGGCUUUGAGUAUAUGACGCCAGUUGUAUAUGAGCCAUUGUUGAGAUACCACUCUUUCUUAUUUGGGUAGCUAACCAGCUUGAGUUAUCCUCAAGUGGGACAAUGUCUGGUGGGUAGUUUGACUGGGGCGGUCGCCUCCCAAAUAAUAACGGAGGCUUACAAAGGUUGGCUCAGAACGGUUGGAAAUCGUUCGUAGAGUAUAAAGGUAUAAGCCAGCUUAACUGCAAGACAUACAAGUCAAGCAGAGACGAAAGUCGGUCUUAGUGAUCCGGUGGUUCUGUGUGGAAGGGCCAUCGCUCAAAGGAUAAAAGGUACCCCGGGGAUAACAGGCUGAUCUCCCCCAAGAGCUCACAUCGACGGGGAGGUUUGGCACCUCGAUGUCGGCUCAUCGCAUCCUGGGGCUGGAGCAGGUCCCAAGGGUAUGGCUGUUCGCCAUUUAAAGCGGUACGCGAGCUGGGUUCAGAACGUCGUGAGACAGUUCGGUCCCUAUCUGCCGUGGGCGUAAGAAGAUUGAAGAGAUUUGACCCUAGUACGAGAGGACCGGGUUGAACAAACCACUGGUGUAGCUGUUGUUCUGCCAAGAGCAUCGCAGCGUAGCUAAGUUUGGAAAGGAUAAACGCUGAAAGCAUCUAAGCGUGAAGCCAACUCUAAGAUGAAUCUUCUCUAAGCUCUCUAGAAGACUACUAGUUUGAUAGGCUGGGUGUGUAAUGGAUGAAAGUCCUUUAGCUGACCAGUACUAAUAGAGCGUUUGGCUUAUCUUUAAUAAAGCAU
rnacentral:rRNA from 1 species